AGAGAUAUGUCAUAGGGUUAUUAGAAGAUUAAUAUUAGACACUACUCAUGACAGCUUUGUGGCACUGCGCUGUCCUUCUCAUUGUUUUCUGCAUCCCUCAUGAGAUAAUUAUAUAUGCUCAUUCCAUGCCAAGAAACUUUCAGAGUUACUUCAUGGGAAGGGUGGAUUGCCCUAUCGCUCCCACGCCAGGCCCAAGGGAACAUAAACAACAGGUGGCAUAGCCAAGUGUGAAUUGUGUGAGUCACGUGUGGCUCUGCCGGUGCCUUUUACUCCUCUAUCAGUGACCAUGCACCACACAUGUGGGUGCCUUUCCCAUCCUGAGUCCUAGGAUGAAGCUACAUAGAACGGAUCCAUAACUACACCUAUAGAAAUAUAAAAUAGGAACAAGCUAGGUAUGGUGAGCCAUACCUAUAAUCCCAGAACUUGGGAGAGGGAGGCUAUCUUUGGCUGCAUAGCAAGUUCAAGGUAAGCCUUGGCUACAUAAAAAUCAAAGAGCCAGUAAAAUAGAAAUAAUGAAAGAACUAUGAGCAAUGACACCCCACUGCUGGGCUACACAUUACAGCCCCAGAGCCGAGAGAGAAAGCUGACUGAUACAAAGGGCAUGCCACCACAUAGGGGUUGAAUAAACUCUUCAGGAUGCAUGGGCAAUCCUGAAGCCUCUCUCACGCCAACCGCUCCCAUACUUCUGCUUCUGCAGUGUGACAUUCAGUCGCUUCGAUCAUCGCAGCAAACUCGGGCUGCAUUUGAUGGUGUAAAAGGGGAGCAGAAUUGCGACUUCAAAUAUUUUUGUUUAUUUACAUGUGUGUGUGUGCACAUGCUAUGCACUGCAAGGGUGUGCAGGUCAGAGGGCAACCUUCAGGAGUAUAUUUCUCUCCUUCCACUACCUGGGUCCCAGGGAUCAAACUCAGGUCCUCCUAUUUGGUAGCAAGCGCCUUUACCCAUCAGCUAUCUCGCUACCCCUGGGAAUUGUUUUUGACGGGAGGCAAAGCUGAAUCCUUCUAGCACUUAGAGUUCAGGAACUCCACCCAACAUGCCUUUCCUGGAUUGUUCAUUCCAGCCGAUAGUCUACAUUUACUGAAUCCUACUGUCUGUGUUUACAGAGCUAUUACCAAAGAGCAGUGUGCCAUGUGUCCUGUCCUUACCACUGCAGGAGGACAGCAAAGCACACAGGUGCUAUGGCUUUCCCUUCACCACACGCACACACCUGGUGGAAGGGGUAAGGAAGGGGGUGGCAUUGCUCUUCUAAAAUAGGUGAAGUUGCCGGGCUUUGGGAAGGGACAAGCUCCCCACAGGCCACAGCUCACACAGCUGGCAGUGACACUGGACUGGAAGCAGAGGUCCUAGCCUUUGGAACAGUGACCUUUUCUCCAUGUUAGGGUGCCUCCAUGCUCAUUCAUGGCCACAUUCCCUUCUGCUUAUUCUAGACUGAGUGAUAUUCGGCCUCUGCUGGCAUAAACCCUGAGACCAAGGUCUGUUCUUCACACAUCACACAUCACAUUGCCCAAGGACUGCCCUAGACUAAGGAGUGAGAAGAGGCAGUGGGCACUUGGAAACCUGGCACAGCCUUAUUUUUCUUCACCAAUGAGUACCCAGUGAACAUUUUUGUUUGUUUGCAUGUGAGGCCAUGCAAUAAGCAAGCACGGGUGGUGGUCAUGAGCUUUCUCAUGGGGCAGCUUCCUUGUCCUAAAGCAAGUUACCUUUAGCCAAAGGACAGACCUGUGGACAGUGAGCUGGACAGAUGACAAGGUUUUUCUUAUGGGAAUAGAAAAGAGAGAGUUCGUGGAUGUGAAGGAGAUAUGAACUCUGGCAAGGGUGAGAGCAGGCUGUGGCAGCCCUGGCCCAGAGGGAUGAGUAAUUUUUCUGUAGGCAGGCACGGUGGAGAACAUUUUAGAGGAACAGGACGUUCAGGACAGGGAGAUGGUCCAGGCUGGAGCAGGGAUUAUGCAGUGAGUCAUACACCGGGAAGCCUGGGUUGAAACCCAAAUUUACAGCAGGUAAAUCCCAGCCUAACAUGAUCUUGUUUUGUCCUUAUAAUCUAGACACACACACACACACACGAUUUGCUUUGAUACAGGGUAUCAUGUAGCCCAGGCUGGUCUCAACUCAUUAUGUAGCAGAAGAUGACCUUAAACUCCCAAUGUUCCUAUCUUCAGAGUGCUGGGAUUAUAAGCCCACACACUUCUAUAAUAAAUAUUAUCUUAAUCCAGCACUUGGGGGAGGCUGAGUUCUCCACCAGCCUGGGCACUGUGAGAUCUUUUCUCAAAGCAGUAAUAACAGCAACAAUAAACUCUUCAGGUCAGGCUUAGCUCUGCCCAGCAAAGCUGAGAUCAGGGAGGAAGUUCAAAUCUUUCUAGGAUGCGUGUGGAGCUUAGAGACAACAUCCCCAAGCAGCCCGAGGCUUGGAAAACAGUUUCCCAUGGAUGAGUAGGACAUUAGUCCAGGCAGCAAGGGGGAUCUCCCUUCUUUGCAAAGAAGAGUUAAGAAUAAACCUGAAACAAGCAUAGCUAAGGAGACAAAACAAAAGUUUGAAAUCCAAGUGCAGACAAUGAAACAGAGCCAUUCACGGCUUAAGUUACUUAAGAAGCAUCAUCUAAGGUCCACAAUGGUUCUGGACACUUAGGGCAAGAUCAUCAAAUAAAAAUCCCUGCCCUU
rnacentral:lncRNA from 1 species